ACACUAGGUAUAACAGCUGGAUUUAACUGAAAUGUGAGAUUUGCCAUUGCAACUGGAGGAGGAAUUAAAAACAGAAAGUUGAAGUCGAACGCAUCACUUUCUAGUGAUGUCAGUGCGGUGUUAGUGUGGGUUGUGGUAACUAUUUGUCAAAUACACAGAUGUUUUGCAUAGCAACAGAAACACUUUUCAUUCAAUACACCUACUGCUGGUCAAAAACAGAGUUCAGCAUAAGUCGAUCAUAUUUAAAUACCAGUGAAGUGUGUCUAUAAUGUGUUUUAUUUUGAUAAUCAUGACACAAUAUUACACUAAAAUUAGGCUGUGUAUGAAAUUGCAUAGUUCUCCGCUACACAGUAGGCAUUAAUCAGUAUACAAGCAUCUCUGUAUACACAGUGUUCAGUAAGUAUUUGUUUACUGAAAGUAAAUAUUUCA